GGUUAAGCGACUAAGCGUACACGGUGGAUGCCCUGGCAGUCAGAGGCGAUGAAGGACGUGCUAAUCUGCGAUAAGCGUCGGUAAGGUGAUAUGAACCGUUAUAACCGGCGAUUUCCGAAUGGGGAAACCCAGUGUGAUUCGUCACACUAUCAUUAACUGAAUCCAUAGGUUAAUGAGGCGAACCGGGGAACUGAAACAUCUAAGUACCCCGAGGAAAAGAAAUCAACCGAGAUUCCCCCAGUAGCGGCGAGCGAACGGGGAGCAGCCCAGAGCCUGAAUCAGUGUGUGUGUUAGUGGAAGCGUCUGGAAAGGCGUGCGAUACAGGGUGACAGCCCCGUACACAAAAAUGCACAUACUGUGAGCUCGAUGAGUAGGGCGGGACACGUGGUAUCCUGUCUGAAUAUGGGGGACCAUCCUCCAAGGCUAAAUACUCCUGACUGACCGAUAGUGAACCAGUACCGUGAGGGAAAGGCGAAAAGAACCCCGGCGAGGGGAGUGAAAAAGAACCUGAAACCGUGUACGUACAAGCAGUGGGAGCACGCUUAGGCGUGUGACUGCGUACCUUUUGUAUAAUGGGUCAGCGACUUAUAUUCUGUAGCAAGGUUAACCGAAUAGGGGAGCCGAAGGGAAACCGAGUCUUAACUGGGCGUUAAGUUGCAGGGUAUAGACCCGAAACCCGGUGAUCUAGCCAUGGGCAGGUUGAAGGUUGGGUAACACUAACUGGAGGACCGAACCGACUAAUGUUGAAAAAUUAGCGGAUGACUUGUGGCUGGGGGUGAAAGGCCAAUCAAACCGGGAGAUAGCUGGUUCUCCCCGAAAGCUAUUUAGGUAGCGCCUCGUGAAUUCAUCUCCGGGGGUAGAGCACUGUUUCGGCAAGGGGGUCAUCCCGACUUACCAACCCGAUGCAAACUGCGAAUACCGGAGAAUGUUAUCACGGGAGACACACGGCGGGUGCUAACGUCCGUCGUGAAGAGGGAAACAACCCAGACCGCCAGCUAAGGUCCCAAAGUCAUGGUUAAGUGGGAAACGAUGUGGGAAGGCCCAGACAGCCAGGAUGUUGGCUUAGAAGCAGCCAUCAUUUAAAGAAAGCGUAAUAGCUCACUGGUCGAGUCGGCCUGCGCGGAAGAUGUAACGGGGCUAAACCAUGCACCGAAGCUGCGGCAGCGACGCUUAUGCGUUGUUGGGUAGGGGAGCGUUCUGUAAGCCUGUGAAGGUGUGCUGUGAGGUAUGCUGGAGGUAUCAGAAGUGCGAAUGCUGACAUAAGUAACGAUAAAGCGGGUGAAAAGCCCGCUCGCCGGAAGACCAAGGGUUCCUGUCCAACGUUAAUCGGGGCAGGGUGAGUCGACCCCUAAGGCGAGGCCGAAAGGCGUAGUCGAUGGGAAACAGGUUAAUAUUCCUGUACUUGGUGUUACUGCGAAGGGGGGACGGAGAAGGCUAUGUUGGCCGGGCGACGGUUGUCCCGGUUUAAGCGUGUAGGCUGGUUUUCCAGGCAAAUCCGGAAAAUCAAGGCCGAGGCGUGAUGACGAGGCACUACGGUGCUGAAGCAACAAAUGCCCUGCUUCCAGGAAAAGCCUCUAAGCAUCAGGUAACAUCAAAUCGUACCCCAAACCGACACAGGUGGUCAGGUAGAGAAUACCAAGGCGCUUGAGAGAACUCGGGUGAAGGAACUAGGCAAAAUGGUGCCGUAACUUCGGGAGAAGGCACGCUGAUACGUAGGUGAAGCGACUUGCUCGUGGAGCUGAAAUCAGUCGAAGAUACCAGCUGGCUGCAACUGUUUAUUAAAAACACAGCACUGUGCAAACACGAAAGUGGACGUAUACGGUGUGACGCCUGCCCGGUGCCGGAAGGUUAAUUGAUGGGGUUAGCGCAAGCGAAGCUCUUGAUCGAAGCCCCGGUAAACGGCGGCCGUAACUAUAACGGUCCUAAGGUAGCGAAAUUCCUUGUCGGGUAAGUUCCGACCUGCACGAAUGGCGUAAUGAUGGCCAGGCUGUCUCCACCCGAGACUCAGUGAAAUUGAACUCGCUGUGAAGAUGCAGUGUACCCGCGGCAAGACGGAAAGACCCCGUGAACCUUUACUAUAGCUUGACACUGAACAUUGAGCCUUGAUGUGUAGGAUAGGUGGGAGGCUUUGAAGUGUGGACGCCAGUCUGCAUGGAGCCGACCUUGAAAUACCACCCUUUAAUGUUUGAUGUUCUAACGUGGACCCGUGAUCCGGGUUGCGGACAGUGUCUGGUGGGUAGUUUGACUGGGGCGGUCUCCUCCUAAAGAGUAACGGAGGAGCACGAAGGUUGGCUAAUCCUGGUCGGACAUCAGGAGGUUAGUGCAAUGGCAUAAGCCAGCUUGACUGCGAGCGUGACGGCGCGAGCAGGUGCGAAAGCAGGUCAUAGUGAUCCGGUGGUUCUGAAUGGAAGGGCCAUCGCUCAACGGAUAAAAGGUACUCCGGGGAUAACAGGCUGAUACCGCCCAAGAGUUCAUAUCGACGGCGGUGUUUGGCACCUCGAUGUCGGCUCAUCACAUCCUGGGGCUGAAGUAGGUCCCAAGGGUAUGGCUGUUCGCCAUUUAAAGUGGUACGCGAGCUGGGUUUAGAACGUCGUGAGACAGUUCGGUCCCUAUCUGCCGUGGGCGCUGGAGAACUGAGGGGGGCUGCUCCUAGUACGAGAGGACCGGAGUGGACGCAUCACUGGUGUUCGGGUUGUCAUGCCAAUGGCACUGCCCGGUAGCUAAAUGCGGAAGAGAUAAGUGCUGAAAGCAUCUAAGCACGAAACUUGCCCCGAGAUGAGUUCUCCCUGACCCUUUAAGGGUCCUGAAGGAACGUUGAAGACGACGACGUUGAUAGGCCGGGUGUGUAAGCGCAGCGAUGCGUUGAGCUAACCGGUACUAAUGAACCGUGAGGCUUAACCUU
rnacentral:rRNA from 1 species